UGGGAAUGUGAAAUUUUUCAG
ensembl:piRNA 21ur-1125 ncRNA